rnacentral:rRNA from 1 species
AACGAACGCUGGCGGCAGGCUUAACACAUGCAAGUCGAACGGAUGGGUGUAGCAAUACGUUUGUAAAGCGGCGAACGGGUGAGGAAUACAUGGGUAACCUACCCUAGAGUGGGGAAUAACUAGCCGAAAGGUUAGCUAAUACCGCGUACGCUCCUUGGACUUCGGUUCAGGGAGGAAAGCGAUGCCGAGGGUAUCGCGCUCUUGGAUGGGCUCAUGUCCUAUCAGCUUGUUGGNGAGGUAACGGCUCACCAAGGCCUCGACGGGUAGCUGGUCUGAGAGGACGAUCAGCCACACUGGCACUGCGACACGGGCCAGACUCCUACGGGAGGCAGCAGUAAGGAAUAUUGCGC